AAUGAACGUUGGCGGCGUGGAUUAGGCAUGCAAGUCGUACGGGUCGGUGUAGCAAUACAACGGCAAGUGGCGAAAGGGAGAGUAACGCGUAGAUACCUACCCUCUGGUCGGGGAUACCGCGGCAUAACCGCAAGUAAUACCCGAUAAUAUCUCCGGAUCAAAGGUGUGAUUCCGCCGGAGGAGGGGUCUGCGUUUCAUCAGCUUGUUGGUGAGGUAACGGCUCACCAAGGCUAAGACGAAUACGGGGUGUGAGAGCAUGCCCCCGCUCACUGGGACUGAGACACUGCCCAGACACCUACGGGUGGCUGCAGUCGAGAAUCGUCGGCAAUGGGCGCAAGCCUGACCGAGCGACGCCGCGUGCGGGAUGAAGGCCUUCGUGUUGUAAACCGCUGUCGAGGGGGAUAAAGUGCAGGUGGGUUCUCCCAUUUGUUUGAUAGAUCCCUGGAGGAAGCAUGGGCUAAGUUCGUGCCAGCCGCCGCGGUAACAC
rnacentral:rRNA from 1 species